rnacentral:rRNA from 1 species
UCCUACGGGAGGCAGCAGUGGGGAAUAUUGCACAAUGGGCGCAAGCCUGAUGCAGCCAUGCCGCGUGUAUGAAGAAGGCCUUCGGGUUGUAAAGUACUUUCAGCAGUGAGGAAGGCGGAUGCGUUAAUAGCGUAUUCGUUUGACGUUAGCUGCAGAAGAAGCACCGGCUAACUCCGUGCCAGCAGCCGCGGUAAUACGGAGGGUGCGAGCGUUAAUCGGAAUUACUGGGCGUAAAGCGCAUGCAGGUGGUGUGUUAAGUCAGAUGUGAAAGCCCGGGGCUCAACCUCGGAAUAGCAUUUGAAACUGGCACACUAGAGUACUGUAGAGGGGGGUAGAAUUUCAGGUGUAGCGGUGAAAUGCGUAGAGAUCUGAAGGAAUACCAGUGGCGAAGGCGGCCCCCUGGACAGAUACUGACACUCAGAUGCGAAAGCGUGGGGAGCAAACAGGAUUAGAUACCCUGGUAGUCCACGCCGUAAACGAUGUCUACUUGGAGGUUGUGGCCUUGAGCCGUGGCUAUCGGAGCUAACGCGUUAAGUAGACCGCCUGGGGAGUACGGUCGCAAGAUUAAAACUCAAAUGAAUUGACGGA